CCGGGACCUCGACACACAGACAGCUGAUGGGAGAGGAUGUGUCGACAAAUCUCUGCUUUAUUUAUCAGCCUCAACUGGUUGUUUGUUCGGUGUGAAGCCGAGUCUCCCACCGUGAUCAGACACAUCGUGACCUCUCCCACCAUCAACCAUCCAGAAAACAGAUCAGAAAGGGAAUGAGUCCGCCAUGUUCUACGGGAGCCCUGAAUGGACAAACCAAACACCGGCUCCAGAAGAGGAGCUUUCAUACUUUCCUCUCGGUGCCGGCGGCCUCCGUUUUUGGUUCAUGUUUGGGUGUAAAAACACACAGUUCUGGUCACGUCCGUUCUGAUCUUACGGAGGGGGAAUAUUGAGUUGGACCUGAGCUGGCCUGCAGGUCGGAGGGCACGGAGAGGAGGGAGGCGACGACGUGGUGAACGUGAUCCUCCGUCUCCGUCGCGUCUACGGAGACGUUCCAUGAUGUCAGCAAAGGAGGUGCCGUUACACAACCAGGAGACAGCUGAGGGAAGGACGAGGACAGAGAGCAGACACAGUUAUAUUUCACAUAAUAUGUCAAACUGAAAGUGUGAAAUUUAAAUAUUUAGUAGCAAAAUGAUACUUCAUGUAAAUAUAUGGAAGUAAAAUAAUAACAAAUGUACAAAAAUAGCAUUUGUUGCUUUUCUUUGUGUAAUUCUUUCACAAUGAAAGAACUAUUCUUGGAUUUAUGCACGUUUUUGUUGUUUUUCUUUUAUUUCAUACUUGCUUUGGCAAUGUAAAUGUAAUUAAACAUUAAAAGUAAGAGUACUCGCUGUUGUAAAAUGUCAAAUGACUGUCAAAAUAUUCAUUUUGUCUGAACUGUUUUGGUAUAAUUAAUUGACUGAUUGUUACAUCUGUACUUCAGAGUAUUUAAUCUCUAAGAAAACUUAAUAUUUUAUAU